UGCUGACACGGAAAUGGUGUCUUCCGACUUAACCGCCCUGAAAAGCUGAUGGCGCCUGCAAAAUU
rnacentral:ncRNA from 1 species